rnacentral:rRNA from 1 species
GACGUAGGGCGCGAGCGUUUGUCCGGAUUUAUUGGGCGUAAAGAGCUCGUAGGCGGCUUGUCGCGUCGACUGUGAAAUCCCGCGGCUCAACUGCGGGUCUGCAGUCGAUACGAGCAAACUAGAGUGUUGCAGGGGGAGACUGGAAUUCCUGGUGUAGCGGUGAAAUGCGCAGAUAUCAGGAGGAACACCGGUGGCGAAGGCGGAUCUCUGGGCCGAUGCUGACGCUGAGGAGCGAAAAGCGUGGGGGAGC